ACGGGACCAGGGGAUCAGUGGGCCUCUGAACAAGAGGGGCGUGCAGAGCGGCUUUUUGGCCUCAGUUAACUCUUAAAUGGGUGUCAGAGGCACUGUCUUCCCCUAGCUAUGCGCCUCGUGCCUGGGAGCCUUAGGGCCACACGGAAGGGUAGAAAUCAGUUUCAGGUCAGGAGAGAUUCCUGCUCCCAGCCCAGGCCCAGACGGCAACAGAAGCUCAUGGGGAGUGAAGGGACAGGAUGGAGCGGGAGCGGCGCCAAAGCACGGGGAGAACCAGAGGCCGCAGGAAUGGCAGACUCUGGACAUGCUCCUAGAGAUGGGAGGUCAAAAUGAUCAACGUUCAGGGUCCCUUCAUCUCAGAGGGUCUCGAGUCACCUCAUUUAAAGUGUGGCCUGGGACACCUCCUAUCCAGCCAUACGCCGCCCAGGACUGGCUCAACAGCUCCACCCUCCACUGCUGUUCACCCAUGACACGUCACUUCCCACCCGCCACUGCUGGCUCACCUGUGACACCCCAGGCAGCUCAGAUGCCCGGCAGGUCCUGCUGGUGUGUGUUAGCCGGGGUCUCCAAAGAACCAGAGCCAGCAGGGGACACACCCAUCUCUGUAUCUGGAGAAAAAGAUCGAUGAGAAGGAAUCUGCUCCUGUGAUGAUGGAGGCUGACAAGUCCCGAGAGCCACGGUUGGCACCCUGGAGACCCCUGAGGGUGAUACCACCACUCCAGGCUGAAAGCUGGCAGGCUUGAGACCCUGGGAGAGCUGGCCCUCUGACUCCUGGGACUUCUUAUUCUAUCCUAGUAUUUCCUCAGCUGAGUGCAUGGGGCCAGACCACACUGGGGAGGGCAGUCAGCGUCACUCAGAGCACCGGGUCAUCUCAUGCAGAAACACCCUCAAAGAAAUAGCCCAAAUUAUGCUGACCAAAUAUCUGGGCACCCCGUGCCCCAGACAAGUUGACACAGAAAAUUAACCAUCACAGGUUAACUCCAUCCAGGAGUGGAAUUGCUGGGUCAUAGAGAAGGCAUAGGAAUUCACAGAAAUCACCAAACGGUUUUCAGGCGGUUGUGCCAUGUUAAACUCCCACUGGAAAGAGAGGAGAGCUGUGAUUGUUCCACGUCCUCAGCAACGUUUAGAAUAGGCAGUCUUUGGCCGGGCCGGGCACAGAGGCUCAAACCUGUAACCCCAGCACUUUGGGAGGCCAUAGUGGGUGGAUUACCUGAGAUCAAGAGUUCAAGACCAGCCUGGCCAACAUGGUUAAACCCCGUCUCUAUUAAAAAUGCAAAAAUUAGCCAGGCGUGGUGGUGCGUGCCUGUAAUUCCAGCUACUUGGGGGCUGAGGCAGGAGAAUCGUUUGAACCCAGGAGGCAGAGUUUGCAGCGAGCCGAGAUCGCGCCACUGCACUCCAGCCUGGGCAACAGAAUGAGACUCUGUCUCCAAAAAAAGAAAAAAUAAAUAAAGAAAAGUCAUUCUGUAGUUUUAGCCUUUGUGAAGGCAUGAAGUGGCAUCUCAUUAUGGUUUAAAUGCUUAUUUCGCUGGUGACUAAUGAGGCUGACCAGUUUUUCACUGCAUUUAGCCCUUUCAAU
ensembl:lncRNA LINC03048 long intergenic non-protein coding RNA 3048